rnacentral:rRNA from 1 species
UACGUAGGGUGCAAGCGUUGUCCGGAAUUAUUGGGCGUAAAGGGUUUGUAGGCGGUUUGUCGAGUCUGCGGUGAAAUUUCGGGGCUCAACCCCGAACUUGCAGUGGGUACGGGCAGACUAGAGUGUGGUAGGGGAGACUGGAAUUCCUGGUGUAGCGGUGAAAUGCGCAGAUAUCAGGAGGAACACCGAUGGCGAAGGCAGGUCUCUGGGCCACGACUGACGCUGAGAAGCGAAAGCAUGGGGAGCGAACAGG